GAUGAACGCUGGCGGCGUGCCUAACACAUGCAAGUCGAACGGAGUCGUUUUGGAAAUCUCUUCGGAGAUGGAAUUCUCGACUUAGUGGCGGACGGGUGAGUAACGCGUGAGCAAUCUGCCUUUAAGAGGGGGAUAACAGUCGGAAACGGCUGCUAAUACCGCAUAAAGCAUUAAAUUCGCAUGUUUUUGAUGCCAAAGGAGCAAUCCGCUUUUAGAUGAGCUCGCGUCUGAUUAGCUAGUUGGCGGGGUAACGGCCCACCAAGGCGACGAUCAGUAGCCGGACGAAGAGGUUGACGGGCCAGAUUGGGACGGGAACCCGGCCCGGGCUCUAACGGAGGGCGGCAGGGGGAAUUAUGGAGCAAUGGGGGAAACCUGAAGAAGGCACCGCGGCGGGAUUGAGAAGGCCUUCGGGUUGUAAAGAUCUUUAAUCAGGGACGAAACAAAUGACGGUACCUGAAGAAUAAGCUCCGGCUAACUACGUG
rnacentral:rRNA from 1 species